GAUUGAACUGUGAGGUCAUCAGCACAGCAAGCUACAUCUCUGGACUUCUGUGAGGUCAUCUUUACUACAGAGCAUAUACUGAAGACAGAAUGGCAGGAGACGUAGACCCAAGACAGGUGGACCUUCUCCAUGAUUGAACUGUGAGGUCAUCAGCACAGCAAGCUACAUCUCUGGACUUCUGUGAGGUCAUCUUUACUACAGAGCAUAUACUGAAGACAGAAUGGCAGGAGACGUAGACCCAAGACAGGUGGACCUUCUCCAUGAUUGAACUGUGAGGUCAUCAGCACAGCAAGCUACAUCUCUGGACUUCUGUGAGGUCAUCUUUACUACAGAGCAUAUACUGAAGACAGAAUGGCAGGAGACGUAGACCCAAGACAGGUGGACCUUCUCCAUGAUUGAACUGUGAGGUCAUCAGCACAGCAAGCUACAUCUCUGGACUUCUGUGAGGUCAUCUUUACUACAGAGCAUAUACUGAAGACAGAAUGGCAGGAGACGUAGACCCAAGACAGGUGGACCUUCUCCAUGAUUGAACUGUGAGGUCAUCAGCACAGCAAGCUACAUCUCUGGACUUCUGUGAGGUCAUCUUUACUACAGAGCAUAUACUGAAGACAGAAUGGCAGGAGACGUAGACCCAAGACAGGUGGACCUUCUCCAUGAUUGAACUGUGAGGUCAUCAGCACAGCAAGCUACAUCUCUGGACUUCUGUGAGGUCAUCUUUACUACAGAGCAUAUACUGAAGACAGAAUGGCAGGAGACGUAGACCCAAGACAGGUGGACCUUCUCCAUGAUUGAACUGUGAGGUCAUCAGCACAGCAAGCUACAUCUCUGGACUUCUGUGAGGUCAUCUUUACUACAGAGCAUAUACUGAAGACAGAAUGGCAGGAGACGUAGACCCAAGACAGGUAAUUAAUAUUAUUAUUAAUUACUGAUAACUUCCAGGCUAGACUUUAGUUCUAGACCUGUAGAGGCGUGGUAAUAUAUUCCUGCUAUACAUGUAUAUUUAUCAGAUAUGUGUGUUUGCCGUAGACUCUAUUCUUUGUAAAAAUGAAGGGAUAAUAAAUAGGCCCCUUAGAGAGAAAUCACCCUGCCAACAGGGACAAGUGCAAAGAGAUAGUUAUGCAACAGAGUGUGUGUAUGUGUAUAUGUGUGUGUGUAUGAGCUGUUACAUGUUAUGAAAUUUAGACUGUAAGCUCUAAUAGGGCAGGGACUCUUGUGAGUAAUAUAUGAUAUACUCUACUCAGCGAUGCAUACAUUUUUGUUGAUAGGGUCAUCUGUGAUAUAGAGUGAUCGAUAGAUAGUUAUUUCCCCAGUAUGUAGAUUAUUUAGAUUUA